AGGGACUCGUGCGUUCAGUAGUACUGACAGAGAGGGAACACUGAGCGAACAGAGUCGAUGAAGAACAUGCAGAUUGUAUCACGGAGCAAGGGCAAGACCACGUGGCUGUAAACACGAGGUCUGAGAAACAGGAGAGGCUGGCAACGACCAGCAGCAAUGCCUAUCUGCACAGCCAUUUGCUUCUGCCAUGUCGACAUCUUCGCUCAACAAGCUUGUGAUCGUCAUGUUAGUGGUCUUCAUCAUUUGCCUACCCGAGUUCUUCCCUUCACAUCAAGCCAAGGUGAAAGAGAUUUCUCCUGCAUCCAUUCCCCCCAUGCCUGAUGAAGAGCCAAGGUGACACAAGGUGCUUCCCUCCAUCCAGGAGGGAUGGAGAUAUAGAGGAGGAACUCUGCACUGGACCAGGAAACGUGACAAACCGUCAUGACCCAGGAGUUACCUGGUUCAUAUGUGAGACUCACACAGAGCCAUCAGCUAUCCUUCACAACACCCUGCGGCCAGAAGGGAAUUCUGAGCCAUCUCUCAUAAUUCAGUCCGAGGACUUUGAGGGGCACAAUAUUACAUUCACGGGGAUUGGGAACCGCAGCCUCUUUCGUGUACCAGAGGAGCACAGGCUGCUGUUUUCCUGCGAUGGAGAGCCCACCCCCAAACCCGGGGGCCUUCCCCAGCCCUCCAAUUAUAGCUGCUGCAUCUUACGCUUACACAGGAUGAACUCCACCGCACUUAAAACUACACUAGUGUGGGCAUCCUCUGUGGGAGGUAGGGUGUUGGCUCGUCCUUUCAGCACUUUCUGAAUCACUUUGCUCCUGGGGACAUCGUUC
rnacentral:lncRNA from 1 species